rnacentral:rRNA from 1 species
GACGAACGCUGGCGGCGUGCCUAACACAUGCAAGUCAACUUGACUGAAGGAGCAAUCUGACAGUAGAGUGGCGCAAGGGUGCGUAACGCGUAAGUAACUUGCCCCAAGGUAAGGAAUAACGUCGAGAAAUCGGCGCUAAUACCUCAUAAUGCAGCGGAUCCACAUGGAUAUGUUGUUAAAGGUUUACCGCCUUGGGAUAGGCUUGCGUCUGAUUAGCUAGUUGGUGUGGUAACGGCACACCAAGGCUACGAUCAGUAACUGGUCUGAGAGGAUGAUCAGUCACACUGGAACUGAGACACGGUCCAGACUCCUACGGGAGGCAGCAGUGAGGAAUAUUGGGCAAUGCUCGAAAGAGUGACCCAGCAACGCCGCGUGGAGGAUGAAGGUAUUCUAUAUCGUAAACUCCUGUGAGAGCAGACGAAAGACAGAUUAUUAAUCUGGAUGACUGUAUGCUCAGAGGAAGCCCCGG